rnacentral:lncRNA from 1 species
AUGGUUGAACACAGGCAAUCUGUGCCUAUCAAAUGGUCAGGCAAGUUUUCAUCUCCAUUCACAUGGUCCCAUUCCCUUUUAGUACUCAAGAACAGUACUGCUGUCAUGGUUGCUGUUGGAGUUAGUAAAAUUGCUAUUUGCAAACUGUGAAGUCAAAAGACCAUUAAUUCCAACUGACACUGACCAGUGGAAAUCAUACUGCAUGUGAUAUAUUUGAAAGUGAUGGGACUUUUGAACCAGGAACAUUGAAAUUAAAUCCUGGAUAGGUAACUUAUUUGCCACUUACACUUGGACAAGUUAUUGAACCUUUAACUGCAUACAUUUUCCCACCUGUUAACAGCACAUAAUAGAAUUCAUUACCAGGAUUAGAUAUAACAUGAAUUAAACUACAUAGUUUGCUUACUAAAUAACAUGAAUGUUAUUUAAUGGAUGACUCCAUGAUUCAGUACUACAAAAUCUAAAGCCCCCGGGGCGCUCCACUGCUCACCACAGGUUAAGGAGGUCAUUCAUUCAAGUGAAAAAUGCUAACUUAAGCCUUUUUCUAAAUUCUGGGGAUAGGUUGACCAGAAUGUUUGCCAGCUAGACCAGAAAUAUGAAAUGACACAAUUUGUUAUCAUCCUUUACUUAGUAAGUAUCGUGUUCUUAUCCUCCUCUAAUCACUGUAAUUCUAUUUAUUAGGCUUAGCCAUUUAUUUCCUGAUUAGGAGAGCCUUUACUGUGCAAACAGACUUAAGACUUUGUCAGUUUACUGCAAAGUGUCAUGAAAGGAGCCUUAGAGUCAGAAAUCAGAAAAUAUUGGCUCUUGAGCCUCCCUCAUUAGUCCCAAACACUUUGAUUUCCUCAUCGGGGCCACUACAUUCCAAUCAAUUAUAAUCAGGUCCCAUUGCUGCCUCAGGUCGCCUAGGAAAGUUCCAGCUCCAUUCACUUUUGUUUAACAAGAGGGACUCUUCAUUAGAAUCAUUUUAGCUUCAUUAUUCAUAAACACCAAAUUGCUUUCUGAGUAUGUCAUCAGUUAAGGCUUGUUUCUCGUCUUUGCCAUAAUCCAUACAAUGUCAACAAUAUUUAAUCACUAUUAAUUAUAAUCCAGUUGCAAAAUAUUAUCAAUAGCUAACAUCCUUGAGUAUUUUCUUGUGCUGGGAACUGUUGUCACA